rnacentral:lncRNA from 1 species
CGGAGGACGGUAGCAGAGACGCCAGAAAAAAGAGCAGCGACGCCUUCGGUCCGGAAGAUCUUGAUCCCGGUGGCCACAGGUCCAACACGCGCCGGCGGAGGAGGCAUGUGGAUAGCAGAGGAAGUAGUAGUAGUGGUUGUCUGAAAGGCUAAAGCAGGGCGGAGUGUUUGAACAGCCGGAUUGGGAACAUGGCUUUCACCCUGGAGCUGCAUUCGGACUUUGAUCAAAUCAAGCGGGUGGGUCGAACACCCGGCCACGAUUGAGGCUAUGCCUCCUUCAACAAAACCCUUCACUCCCAUAGCGGCACUCUCAAAGAAGAUCUAAACUCAAAUACUUAAGAACUUUACCAAAAUUUGCUUGCAAAUCAACAAGGCAAUUACUUUGUUUCAAAAAGGAAAUAAAAGAAGUUUAAA